rnacentral:antisense_RNA from 1 species
AAGGUUACCACCGAGACGCCUAGUCCUCAGCUGGUCCUAGACAUGCGUGGCGUCGGGGAUGUGGCACGGUCGGGUCCGGGGUCCUGGUUCCCAUUUGUAAUUGGCACCCUAAUGAAACCGUUUUCUGUAGCCCUGGAAAUGGCUGAAAAUGAGGGGAGGGAAAUAAAGUGCUAUAAUUCAGAGCAUGGAGCACACCUUCCUGGUUCACCUGAGUUGGAUUCGGAGAGGUAAAAUGGCCAUUACCUCGUCUAAGCUGCCACUUACAGACACAGUACAGGAUGAGGCCCAGGCCCACAGAGACAACGAUGAUGGCCACAGCUAAGAUGAUCCAGAAAUUAUUCCUCCACCAGCUCAUUGCAGUGGAAUCCUGAGAAGAAUGGAGAGAGAAGAAUGAGGUAUGAAUGAAAGAUAUCCUGGGGUUGGGUGGAGUGGGGCAGUUAUCUACUGUGGGUUGUUUUUUUUUUCUUUUCUGAGUCGGAGUCUCACUCUGUCGCCCAGGCUGGAGUGCAAUGACAUGAUCUCAGCUCUCAGCUCACUGCAACCUCCACCUCCCG